rnacentral:ribozyme from 1 species
UUCUUUCGCUGUAUGGGAUCGUUGGUGUUUGGAUCUUGUGUGUAUUGGUGGAUCUUCCAACGUCUUCGAUCAACUACUGCACUUCGGCUCUUAUACUUCAACACCCAUCAACGUUGACUUAC